rnacentral:misc_RNA from 1 species
CAUGAGUAGCUUUGGACCCGUGUCUGCCGGUAGAUCCCCCGUUGUACUGCGGCCGACUACCGGCGCCUUGUCCCGUCAAUCGUGUGGCUUUGAAUCGCUGGAUUAAGAGUGCUUGCGUGCUAGUACCCGACCUACGGGAAGUGGUGCUUUGUAUAAUCGUUGCCUCGCGGCGGACGCCCUUUGGGUGUGCCGCUGCGGCCGAAUAGUGCUUGCGGCGUUGCCUCGUGGCGUUGGCACGUUACGUGCCUGCUGCUAUCAAGGCAACCUCGCUCCCGCUGUUGGUCUCGGAUGCUGCUCACGAUAAAGGGUCGUGGCCCUUUCGGUUGCCUCGACCCGACCCAAAGCUCUCCGAACUGAGAACAACCGGAACAAGAGUUGCCUCUACCUCUCCACAGUUACGUGGUAGGAUACGCGACUCUCUGUGCCGAUCCUCAAGGAAGAUGAGCUAUGCCGCUCAACAGCGACAACCGGCCCGGCCGUUGCCUCUGAGUUUCCACGCAAGUGGAAGCGCGGGACGAUGGCCGAUGCUGGGCGUCACCGAGGACGUGCU